CGUGCGCGGCUGCCAUGAGGGAGCGGACGCGGGAAAUGUGCCAGGCGGGAGCCCAGAAAAAUGGGGAAAAAAAGGCGCCACGGUGGAGUGAGGAAAAAGAGUUCAGGUCCUGAUGCAGCCAGGAUGGCAAAAGUGCUGAAUUGAAAUAGCGUGCACCGUGCCCCAGGUGACUGCAGAGGCAAGCCUGGCCGAUACGUGCUGCCGACGACCUCGGAGGGCUGCAACAGCGCUGACAAUAGAGGUAUGGAGAGGCAAGCAGCAUAUGAUUUAUUUACUGCAUUCUUGCAGAAAAGGCAGAUUAAAAACAUUGAUUUACAUAAAGAUCUGCCAAGGUUAUUAACAUAUAGGUAUGCUAAGGGGCUCUUUAUAAAUCCUCAUACAGUACAUAAGUUGUCUAAGUGGUGUAAGUUUAAAGAUAAACUAUAAGAAGACAUUUUAGAUUAUGAUAAGGCAGCCAAAAAGCUAAAAAAGUUGUAAAAGGUAGUUCACAAUGAGUUAUUACAACAUCAGGCAGAAAAAAAAGCUGCUGCACAAGCAACUUCACACUAGAGAAGAAUAAAAGUUAUAGCAGAGAAAAUUAAUUACCUAGUAUUUCCAUGCCACCUGCUGUGUCUACAGUGGAGUUACCUCCCUUGCGACCCGUGCCUGAGGACACGGAAACAGAGUCGUGUUGUGAGCCCACGGCUCCUCCAGCCCCCCCAAACAGAGAUCACCGGUUUGUCAGAGUUUGUCUGUCAGUAAAUCACCCCCUAAGGCAAAGUCUGACCUAACAAAGGCUCUGGCCAGAGAGCAAAAAGAAGUUUAGGCAACUCUAACAAAAG